CAAGGCAGAACAGCUGAUGCCCAGAUGGCCCCCCACACAUACCAUCCAUUAAGCCUACUCAUUAGGGCAGAAUAAUUAAACAUACGCACUGGUCAGUGAGAUACCGUUAACCUGAAACAACAGAUAAAGGCAGGGCCAGCCGGUCCCCCACUGGGUGCACACGUGCUGGCCCCUAAAUAUAGUACGGGUCAGGGAAUCUAACAACAAACUCUGUCUGGCAGAACAUUUGGCCAAGGGCUUUGAGACAAAAGCAUUGGAGAUUCAUGUCCAUCAGUGUCAGCGCCCGGCAGAGAUAAUUAAGUUAAUUAGAGACCUGACCAUUAACGGUAUACCACCACUGACCAGUAGCGAAGAGAGGGCCAGAGAACAAAGGACCAAGACUGACCAACCCUGGGUAUAUAUAACGGUACAGGCAAUAGGCCAGGGAAGAGCCGAGCCGAAUCUGCAGCCGAGUGUGCAGUACUGAAUAAAGUUGUGGACCCACAGACAGACUUGUGUUGUUCAUCACCCCUCUUGGAGACACAGCACUAAGGCAGAUAGACAUCGCAAAGAAACCAACAUCUUCUAAGUGCGAUACUGGUGGAGACAGAUCUCUGGUGCCUCUUCAAGCCAAGCAGCCAAGUUCCAUACAAAGGACCAGAUUCCGCGGAGCCAGUUCACCCUAAAGGACCAGGAGACAACCCAUCAGUUCCAGACAGGACCAGGACCAUGCACACCGGGACCAACUCGCCACCUCCCGACCAGACAGGACCCAUCAUCAUUUCCGACGUCAACUCACUUCACAGCAGGACAAAACCGAAGUUUCGUGAGAGACACUGUGCAAGAACUGUGUGUAACGAACUGUUCUUCGUUUCCUAACAUUGUGACACUCCUUUGGGUAAGCACAUUUUUAUAUUACCACUGCCUACCCUAUUUGCAUUUUUACUUGUUUAGCAGCACAUUUGUACGUUGCAUAACUAUGUCGAUAUUCAAACUUAAUCCACUAAACGCGGAUGAAAGGCUUCCCCUCUUGACCCCAGAAAAGAUUAACUCACCCCCAACGUCUAAAUCCACCCCUAAACAAGU